rnacentral:rRNA from 1 species
UACGGAGGGUGCAAGCGUUAUCCGGAUUCACUGGGUUUAAAGGGUGCGUAGGUGGAUUGGUAAGUCAGUGGUGAAAUCUCCGGGCUUAACCCGGAAACUGCCAUUGAUACUAUCAGUCUUGAAUACCGUGGAGGUCAGUAGAAUAUGUCAUGUAGCGGUGAAAUGCUUAGAUAUGACAUAGAAUACCAAUUGCGAAGGCAGCUGGCUACGCGAAUAUUGACACUGAUGCACGAAAGCCGUGGGGAUCAAACAGG